CCGCCCCGUUGGAGAUGGAUUCAGUUGAUGGAGAAAUAGCAAAAUGUCUGUAUUUGUAGCCAGCACUUUCAGCCAGAGGAUUUCGAAACGGAUCUGAAGUCUCAACUGAUGGGGUUGCCAGGUUGUUGUAUGUUGAAAAGUGAUGCUAUUCCAUCAAUUUUCCAAAAUUUUAAACAAUAAUGUAUGGGCCGUUGGUGGAAGAAAAUAUGUAUUGAUGAUGGAAUAGCAUCUCUAGUCAAUAAGUAGACAAGCCUCAGCAAUGUAGGAACAUCCCAGAGCUGGGACAUGUUAGUAUAAGUUAACACUAACUACCGAUAAAGGGUCAAAUAUUUGUUCACCCACCUAAUGGAUCAUCUGAUCCUAGACCUGUGUUUAAGACAACCUCUUUCUUGAGCCGAUUUGUUACAUUUUUGUGUUUUCAACUACACAAAGUCAACAAAUCAAAUCAAAUUUAUUCACCCAUUCAAUCGCAGAGCUCCUAUCUCAGGAGACUUUACGUUUGACCAGAAUGCAUGCAACCCACCUUUCCACAAGCCUGAAAACAUUUUUUUCUCCCUUUUCUUAUUUUUUUUGUCACAGUAGUAUGGCGCCAUAACAUCCACAGACACAUACCUUGUCAUACAGAGCCCCUUUUACAUGAAACCUCUGCUUUCACCAAGAUCUAAAAACCCAGGCGUCCCUAAACAUUUUUGCCCCAAAUACAGUACGCCAGUCUAAAGCCCAGGCAUGUUUUCAAAGCAUUUUUUAUUUUAUUGUUAACCUUUUUUUAACUAUGCAAGUCAGUUAAGAACAAAUUCUUAUUUUCGAUGACUGCCAAAUAACAGUGCAUUAACUGCUUUGUUCAGGGGCAGAACUGACAGAUUUUUACCUUGUCAGUUUAGGGAUUCAAUCUUGCAAACUUUCGGUUACAAGUCCAAUGCUCUAACAACUAGGCUACAUGCACGCCUCCUGCUGUGGUGCAUGGAGUCCCUAUUCCUUUACCCCAGUAGGAUGGGUUCAGGAUAAAAUGCACUUAAGCUGCACGCCUCCUGCUGUGGUGCAUGGAGUCCCUAUUCCUUUACCCCAGUAGGAUGGGUUCAGGAUAAAAUGCACUUAAGCUGCACGCCUCCUGCUGUGGUGCAUGGAGUCCCUAUUCCUUUACCCCAGUAGGAUGGGUUCAGGAUAAAAUGCACUUAAGCAGUCUAAAAUGUCACAAUUCCACAAGAGGAACCAAACCGUGCGUUUGAAAGAAACAGGAACCAACACGAACUAGCCUUGUUGAUUCUUGGUUGUUUUUCCAAUUGCUGUGGAACUGGAAACAGGAUUAGGUUUAAUUUGCGGGGUGAAAACUGCUAGUGACUAUUUUAAGACGGCAACAUUCGACAGCGAUAUUGUUGUGAUCUUCGGUGACUGGCAUUAAGUGUGGAGAAGGGAGAUGUGCUGAUCUAUCACGUUGCUGAACCGCAGGCCCACUGUCUGGACCCUGUUGCACAAUUUUCAGACCCACAAUGGUUCGAUAACUCCUGCAUGUCGGCAGAGACUUUCCAGGUCCUCUGCAAAAGGGCUGAGUACUAUUUGUGGGAGAGACAUGAUGCAUUGUUCCGCCUUUGUGUCCCUCUCCGAAUGCGAAUGCAGCAUUUCAGCAGCCUGCAGUGCCACUUCCAGAGAGGAUGGGAGCUAUAAUGUAAACACAGUGUGUGAUGGACUCCUGCAACACUUCAACAACUAGGUACAUCAGAGUGGAUUACACAGGAUUGCUAUUGCUAAAACGAAGACACCCAGCUCCGCAUCGCCCUUUGGACAACAAAACGCCUGGACCAACAACAGAACGACUAGCACGACAAACCAAGCCUUGUCCUUUAGCUCAGUGGUGAGCCAUGGGUAUUAAUACAGUAAUGCUAUAUAAUGCCCCUGUCACAUGACUGUACCCUUCGGGAUUAAUACAGUACUGCUAUAUAAUGCCCCUGUCACAUGACUGUACCCUUCGGGAUUAAUACAGUACUGCUAUAUAAUGCCCCUGUCACAUGACUGUACCCUUCGGGAUUAAUACAGUACUGCUAUAUAAUGCCCCUGUCAUAUUUAUUUAUUUUAUUUAACUAGGCAAGUCAGUUAAGAACAGAUUCUUAUUUACAAUGACGGCCUACCAAAAGGCAA